GGCUCCUUCCCCCUGAUUAGGUUAGGACGGAAUCCCACAUGUAGGGUAAUUAACUGCUUUGUACCACAUUUCACUUCAGUGGACAACUUUACACAUCAGAAGCCACAGAAACUUCCUUCACUAGCCACCGAGGGAGGCAAGCUGUGAAGACUGGAGUAAGCUUGGAUCUGCCUAAACAUGGAAGUAAUCUUUUCAUUGGUCUGUGUCUAACAAGAGCCAACAAAAUAGAAGAUGACAUGGAAGAAGACAGAAAGCAGAUUUCCACCUCUACUCUUGAGCCUCCCUCUUAAAUGAUGCUUGGGGCAACAACCCUUCAAAAUUAGCAAGCUGUGAACAGCUUUCAGAGAUAUCCAACAACUCUGGCCUGGUCAGGAACUCAUUCAAAAAGAAAACCACUAAGCACUGCAAAAAGAGAAGAAUUUUGACCUACUGAAGUACAUGUGCCAAAAAAUGCACUGGAAAGCAAUUCACUUCAAUUCAACAUUUACUAAAUACCUAUAUGGAUGAUGGAAUAGGAGGAGGAAUCAUACAAGCUUACAAAACACCUGACUCUUGUCCUUGCAAAGUACAUAUGCCAACAAAGACCAUGUGGACAUGUGCAGAAUGGUACCUAGAUGUCCAGGGAGAGGUACGUUUCCUUUUGUAUUGAAGAAGAAGUUGAACCUUUUAAAAUGGGGGAGGGGGGGAUUAGGCAGGUGCUAGAUUUAAGCAGUGCUGUGAAGAAGUAAAGGGAGAUGACCGAGGACAAUUACAAAUAUACAUGGUGGACAUGAAGGACAAAGAAAAAUAGUAUUCAAAGUAGGCUAAGAACAUCUUUAUCUGCAAAGCAAAGUGAUGAGUUUGGAAAGCAAAGGGGUGUUGGGUAAAAACGACUGGUGAUAGGUCUUGAAGUUAUUCUUAGUCAGUCAUGAGCCCUUGUUUUUCAUUUUCAAAUGCAUCUAGUAGAGGAUGGAGAAUUGCUAAAAU